GACGAACGCUGGCGGCGUGCCUAAUACAUGCAAGUCGAACGCAGUGGGGACGGGUGAGUAAAACGUGGGUAACCUCCCAUCAGAGGGGAUAACACUUGGAAAAAGGUGCUAAACCGAUACUGAUGGAUGGACACGCGGUGCAUUAGCUAGUGGGGGAGGUAACGGCUCACCAAGGCCACGAGGGAGAGCCGUGCUGGUGGGUUUGUAGGCCCCACGGGGCCGGAGACACGGCCCAGACUCCUACGGGAGGCAGCAUUAGGUAAUCUUCGGCAAUGGACGAAAGUCUGACCGAGCAACGCCGCGUGAGUGAAGAAGGUUUUCGGAUCGUAAAACUCUGUUGUUAGAGAAGCGGUAUCUAACCAGAAAGCCACGGCUAACUACGUGCCAGCAGCCGCGGUAAUAC
rnacentral:rRNA from 1 species